rnacentral:rRNA from 1 species
GGGGAAUAUUGCGCAAUGGGCGAAAGCCUGACGCAGCCAUGCCGCGUGUGUGAAGAAGGCCUUCGGGUUGUAAAGCACUUUCAAUUGGGAAGAAAGGUUGCGUGUUAAUAGCACGUAGCUGUGACGUUACCUUUAGAAGAAGCACCGGCUAACUCCGUGCCAGCAGCCGCGGUAAUACGGAGGGUGCGAGCGUUAAUCGGAAUUACUGGGCGUAAAGCGCGCGUAGGCGGUUUGUUAAGUCGGAUGUGAAAUCCCCGGGCUCAACCUGGGAAUGGCAUUCGAUACUGGCCGACUAGAGUACGAGAGAGGGAGGUAGAAUUCCACGUGUAGCGGUGAAAUGCGUAGAUAUGUGGAGGAAUACCGGUGGCGAAGGCGGCCUCCUGGCUCGAUACUGACGCUGAGGUGCGAAAGCGUGGGUAGCAAAC